rnacentral:rRNA from 1 species
AUUGAACGCUGGCGGCAUGCCUUACACAUGCAAGUCGAACGGCAGCACGGGAGCAAUCCUGGUGGCGAGUGGCGAACGGGUGAGUAAUAUAUCGGAACGUGCCCAGUCGUGGGGAUAACGUAGCGAAAGCUACGCUAAUACCGCAUACGAUCUAUGGAUGAAAGCGGGGGAUCGCAAGACCUCGCGCGAUUGGAGCGGCCGAUAUCAGAUUAGGUAGUUGGUGAGGUAAAGGCUCACCAAGCCGACGAUCUGUAGCUGGUCUGAGAGGACGACCAGCCACACUGGGACUGAGACACGGCCCAGACUCCUACGGGAGGCAGCAGUGGGGAAUUUUGGACAAUGGGCGCAAGCCUGAUCCAGUAAUGCCGCGUGCAGGAUGAAGGCC